rnacentral:snoRNA from 10 species
UGAGCAAGCGAUGACAGCCGGUGGUGUGUGAGUCAUGGAGGAUGAAUACUAAGUGCCUGGAACUCUGAGGUUCAA